UCCCAUGCCGAACCCGGCAGUUAAGCCCUCUUGCUCCGAUGGUACUGCGAUUCGCUUCGUGGGAGAGUAGGAAUUUGCCAAGU
rnacentral:rRNA from 1 species